rnacentral:rRNA from 1 species
CAGGCCUAACACAUGCAACUCGAGCGGUAGCGGGAAGAGCUUGCUCUUUGCCGACGAGCGGCGGACGGGUGCGUAACACGUAGGAAUCUGCCUGGUAGUGGGGGAUAGCCCGGAGAAAUCCGGAUUAAUACCGCAUACGCCCUAAGGGGGAAAGGAGGGGACUCUUCGGAGCCUUUCGCUAUCAGAUGAGCCUGCGUCGGAUUAGCUUGUUGGUGGGGUAAAGGCCUACCAAGGCGACGAUCCGUAGCUGGUCUGAGAGGAUGAUCAGCCACACUGGGACUGAGACACGGCCCAGACUCCUGCGGGAGGCAGCAGUGGGGAAUAUUGCACAAUGGGCGAAAGCCUGAUGCAGCCAUGCCGCGUGUGUGGAGAAGGCUCUAGGGUUGUAAAGCACUUUCAGUAGGGAGGAAAGGUUGAUGGUUAAUACCCAUCAGCUGUGACGUUACCUACAGAAGAAGCACCGGCUAACUCCGUGCCAGCAGCCGCGGUAAUACGGAGGGUGCAAGCGUUAAUCGGAAUUACUGGGCGUAAAGCGUGCGUAGGCGGCUACCUAAGUUGGAUGUGAAAGCCCCGGGCUC